rnacentral:rRNA from 1 species
AACGAACGCUGGCGGCAUGCCUAACACGUGCAAGUCGAACGAGACCUUCGGGUCUAGUGGCGCACGGGUGCGUAACGCGUGGGAACCUGCCCUUAGGUUCGGAAUAACUCCCCGAAAGGGGUGCUAAUACCGGAUAAUGUCUUCGGACCAAAGAUUUAUCGCCUUUGGAUGGGCCCGCGUUGGAUUAGCUAGUUGGUAGGGUAAAAGCCCACCAAGGCGACGAUCCAUAGCUGGUCUGAGAGGAUGAUCAGCCACACUGGGACUGAGACACGGCCCAGACUCCUACGGGAGGCAGCAGUGGGGAAUAUUGGACAAUGGGCGAAAGCCUGAUCCAGCAAUGCCGCGUGAGUGAUGAAGGCCUUAGGGUUGUAAAGCUCUUUUACCCGGGAUGAUAAUGACAGUACCGGGAGAAUAAGCUCCGGCUAACUCCGUG